CACUCACACUCGCUCUGCCUGUCUGACACAGACUCUACUUAAAGCGCUGGAGAGGACUGAGGCUCACACUAUCAGCACAGCUUCUCAAUGGGGGGAUGCAGCAAAGAGCAGACAGAGCGGUCAUUCCACUGGAGCCUUCCGCCGCACGCGUGAGGAGGGGACGACAAGUGAGGAGGGUAAAUUAGCCCCCUGUCAUCACAACAUAGGAGUUUUUUCUGACAGAGAAGAGACACUGGAGAAGGAGGAGAGUGGAUCUGCACGAAUGUGGCUGACACAGCAGUGACAUGAUCAGCCUCCCAUCACUCAAAUCUUGGCCGGUUUGUGACACACACCCCAGGGUGUUUUGCUUUUGGUGACUGGUUGUGUUGCCAAGGAUUUUAAAAGCAGCUGAGCAGCAGUGGGGUCCAGAGGCGGGAGAUAUUGGGAGGAAACAACAACAACAACUAAACAAACAACAAAACACAGACAACAGCAUCUUUUUGUGCAGUCUUUGGCUUUACCUGUGGUGGAAUUUCCAGCCUGACCACAGACAAUGGAUGGAAUUAACUCAGAGGAGUGAGUCUGCUGGGCAGCCAGAGAUUCUGACUAAACUCUUCCCCUUCUGAUCACACUGCUCAGACUCGGCCUCGCCAUGUCCUGGUUGUUGGCCGCGUGGAUUAGCCUCGGUUUCCUGCUGUUGUGCCAGGCCACACUCUACCAGACCAUCCAGCAGCACCACGUGGCCCGACCCGGACGCACUGACAUCCUCACCUUGGAGGGAGGCACGUGUGAGGUGAUCGCAGCUCACCGGUGUUGUAACAAGAACCGAAUUGAGGAGCGCUCACAGACGGUCAAGUGCUCCUGUUUACCCGGGAAAGUGGCAGGGACGACGCGCAACAAACCCUCCUGCGUGGAUGCAUCCAUUGUAAUUGGGAAGUGGUGGUGUGAGAUGGAACCUUGUCUGGAGGGAGAGGAGUGCAAGACGCUGCCCGACAACUCCGGAUGGAUGUGCUCCUCUGGGAACAAGAUCAAAACCACGAGGAACACCCAGCCAUACUCUCCUUUUUAGCUUCCGGAAGCAAAAUGCAGAGGAUGCACCAACAGAAAUUGAGCUGCAUUCUUGCUUCUGUAAAGAUUCAUCCCAGGACCUAACAGAGUGCUCCUAUCGCAGGUCUGAGCGCCACGCUUCCCCCCCUCCUCCUUAUGCACCUUUCUCUUCUCAUCACACGGACUAAAAUUAUUACUUCAACGUCUACUGACUGGCUUACCUGAGACAACAGAAAGGAUUUCCGCCCAGAUAAAACAGCUUUGCUCUCAUGGUGCCAAGGAUUUGAAACGGCACUAAUCCCCUGUUUGAUCAAUGAGCCCCAUGUUGGUGACUCUUCUCUUCUGCGCAGCCGUGGCCUGUUUCUGCCCCAGUCUCUGUUUCCCUCACUCCGUCUUGUCAUUGAAAGACUAAAAUGACUUAACAGGGGUAAUUUAGAGCUUUUAAACGAUUGAAGAAGAUUUCCCUGUCUGAAGGUGAACCAAUUGAGGAGCUUAUUCAAGAAUUGGACACGGGAUCGACAGAACUGAGGACCCUCAGAUCCUGCUUCUUCUGAGUGGAAUGGGACUCUCCUCUGGAGAUGGAUUUCAUUGCCGUGACCACUUGGAGAAUAUUUAGCUGAAGUAACACUGGACUGUCAAUAACUGAACACUUGCAGCUUCUAAUGAGAUAAUGAAAAGGCUUUCAGGUUUUAGUCUGAAUUUUAUUGGUGGGCAUGCCCAAUGUAAAUUCGAGCACAGCUUUUCUUUUUAUGUAAGAUAAUUUAUGUAUAUAUACACAUAUAUAAAAAAAAAUGUUACAUACACUGUAAGAUGAUGAAUUCAAGAGCCUAAAAAUAUAUUUACCAUUCCAUUAGGCAUUCAAGUCCUGUGGUGGAAUAUUGAUUAGCCCUUGGACAUAAUCCAGAGGCUGGUGAGUGGAAGACUGCGUUGGAGAGUUUGCUUGCAUUGGAAAAAAAAAAAGGAAGAAAAUCACAAUUGAAUCUAAGGCCAAGUCCUUGUUAAUGCUGCCAUUCAGUGCUGCUGCUAAGCAAACCAAAUGUUUGCAGUUUCUGUAAAGAUGAAGAUGCACAGAACUGCUUCACAUUUGUAAAGUGAACUGGCAGCAGUCCUUGACCUUUUCCAUCCAGGUACACAGCAGUUUUCUAGCUGUGAUCUCAGGCAGAGAUCAUGGGCAUGUGUCAGCAAAGCUGAUCUCGUUCAAUGAAGAAAGCUUGAAUUGAAAUGACACCGAGGAAAGUAUUAGUCUCAAUAAAAAAAACAUCAUUAUCCACCAGUAAGAUCAAGAUCAUUACAGGACAAGCCUUAUGAGAAAUAAAAUUGUUUUCUAUACUGA